GGAUGUGAGGGCAAUCUGCCUGCAACAUCUGUCACCCCGUUGAUCUCCAGGGUAGAUUCGGCUGACCUAGCUGGCUAGGUGGGUGUCCCCGUCCUCCCUCACCCCUCCAGCACGUCCCUCCAGAAGCUGCUUGCUGGGUCAAAGAGGACGAAGAGGAUGACCACCCCGAUAGAGGAGGACCAUUCCUUGGUCAAGGGUAUAGGAGGAGCUGCGCUCCCCCGCUGGAACCUUCAAACAAGCUCUCAAAAAGGAAGAAAGAGAAGUGGCUGGGGAUUUAGCUCAGCGGCAAAAGUGCCUGCCUGGCAAGCAC
rnacentral:snRNA from 1 species